AUUGAACGCUGGCGGCAUGCUUUACACAUGCAAGUCGAACGGUAACAGGCCGCAAGGUGCUGACGAGUGGCGAACGGGUGAGUAAUGCAUCGGAACGUGCCCAGUCGUGGGGGAUAACUACUCGAAAGAGUAGCUAAUACCGCAUACGAUCUAUGGAUGAAAGCGGGGGACCGUAAGGCCUCGCGCGAUUGGAGCGGCCGAUGUCAGAUUAGGUAGUUGGUGGGGUAAAGGCUCACCAAGCCAACGAUCUGUAGCUGGUCUGAGAGGACGACCAGCCACACUGGAACUGGGACACGGCCCAGACUCCUACGGGAGGCAGCAGUGGGGAAUUUUGGACAAUGGGCGCAAGCCUGAUCCAGCAAUGCCGCGUGCAGGAAGAAGGCCUUCGGGUUGUAAACUGCUUUUGUACGGAACGAAACGGCUCUGGUUAAUACCCGGGGCUAAUGACGGUACCGUAAGAAUAAGCACCGGCUAACUACGUG
rnacentral:rRNA from 1 species